rnacentral:rRNA from 1 species
GUYUUUUAGAUUAUAAUUUAAAGUCUGGCCUGCCCAAUGAGUUUUGAAUGGCCGCGGUAUUUUGACCGUGCAAAGGUAGCAUAAUCAUUAGUUUUUUAAUUAAAAGCUGGUAUGAAAGGUUGUAUGAGAGAAUAGCUGUCUCAAUUUUAUUAAUAGAAUUUUAUUUUUAAGUUAAAAAGCUUAAAUUGUUUUAAAAGACGAGAAGACCCUAUAGAGUUUAAUUUAAAUUUAAUAAUUAAUUAUUUAGUAUGGUUUGAUUAAUUAUUUAGUUUAAAUUUGAUUGGGGUGAUUAAAAAAUUUAUUAAACUUUUUUUUUAUUUAAACAAUAAUUAUUGAUUAUUUGAUCUUUAUAUGAUUAUAAGAAUAAAUUACCUUAGGGAUAACAGCGUAAUUUUUUUGGAGAGUUCAAAUCGAUAAAAAUGAUUGCGACCUCGAUGUUGGAUUAAGAUUAAAUUUUGGUGUAGAAGCUAAAUAUUUUAGGUCUGUUCGACCUUUAAAUUCUUACA